rnacentral:lncRNA from 1 species
GCUGGGCAAACCAGGUGAGCACCUUCUGUCUCCUGACGGAACCCCACCUGAGCGAGGCUGACUCCUGCCGAGGUGCUGUACACAUUACAAAAACGCCUUUGUAAACCACAAAACGCUCUCGGAAGUGGAAAAAUCAUCUCGAUCCUGAUGUGAAAACCACAAUUUCCUUCAUUUGUGGAUCCUGCCAGAUUAAAAAGCAUUCAGGGAAGAAGUGCGGCUGGGAGAAUUGAACGCUGUCCGAAGAGGCAAGUUCUCUGAGUCCAGAAUCCUGCCGCGGAGGCCGGCUGGCUCCGUCCAAUUGCAUAAGUCACUUAACCUCCUGAUGACUCUUUUCCCAUCAUCAGGCUGGAAUUAAGGAGUUGGCCUUCCCUCUGGGGCCAGAGAUCUGGACUUCCUAACUGCCAGUUGGAUAACAUGCUUUGCCAUUGCAAUUUGCGCUAAAGAGUCUCAAGGUUGUUGUGAAAACAAGCGAUAAAAGUCAGUUAACAAGCCGGCUGCCACCAGAACAGCCAAUGAGAACACCUAAAGCCACCUAAAGUGCAUCUCCAGGCUUGGGGUUCUGGAAACAGAUUCGGAGACUAGUCAGGCCUUUAUUAUUCUAUUUUAUUUUAUUUUUAUUACUUUUAAGAUUGUGAGGUGGAGUCCCUGGAUAAUUGAUGAAUAAUAUUGUGUUCUCAUAAAGUCAAAAGAAAUCCCCUCAGUUGAGAAACAGUCUACAGGUGUGUGUAGGACCCUUUACAAGGAUCUUAGAGAUAAUCUGGCCUAGCACUUCCGUUUUUGCAGAGCAGGAGUUUGGUCAAAGCAGAAAGUUUAAAUGACCUACUUAUGCUUGUGGAACCAUAGAUCUAGUAGUUGCUGCAGGAGUUUGAAAUCUAACUUUAAUGGUGGUUUAAUUAAUCCAGUCAUUUUAAAAGGAAGGAAUCCUUGAGGAAGGCUGACAACACUACACACAUUUUUGCCUAAGAGUCAAUUUGAUAGUAGACAAGACAGACCCGGAGAAUGUUGGGUAAUGUCUUUAAUUAUUAUUAUUUUUAAAAUUACUUAAUGAAUUUUAUUACAUUUAUAUGUGUACAACAAUCAUCACAACCAAAUUUUAUAGCAUUUCCAUCCCAACCCCUCAGUGCAUCCCCCCACGUAAUGUCUUUAAUUAUAAAAGAAGUCUUCUGAACCUAAACGGGAAUCUUUUUAGAAAAAUGGCAGAAGCAUAGCCAUUGAAGGCAAUGUUGAAAAUGCAAUAUUUUAAUUUUUUCUAUGAAUUCUUUUUUAUUUUUUAUUAAAGUAUAGUUGAUUUAUAAUGUUGAGCCAAUUUCUGCUGUACAGCAAAGUGACCCAGGCAUAUGUAUGUAUGGCAUCUUUUUCUCAUAGUAUCUUCCAUCAUGGUCUAUCCCAAGAAACUGGAUAUAGUUGCCUGUGCUGUACAGUAGGACCUCAUGAAAAUGCUCUAUUUUUAAAGUUGAGUUUAAAACCUUAAAACUUUCCUCCCUCCCUCUCUCCUUUUCUUUCUUCCUUCUAUCAUCCUUCUCUCUGUGUCUCUAUCUCUCUCAUCUUUGCAAUUUUUUUUUUAUUUGAAGAGAAGUCUUGGAGGAAAACUAGGUAAAUCUAGGCUUUGGUGACUUGGGGUUGAAAGAAACAUCCAGAAAGUGGAGGCAGGCUGAUUUACAUAGUAGAGAGGAAAAAGCUCCUGGUGAUUUACUCUGACUUGCUAAUUUUCAGAAGGAAAUUAAUAAAAUUGAUUCCAGCAAAAACUCUAAGUGGACAAAUAGAAGAAAAACAAAUCGAGAAUUGUGAAUAUUUAGGGCAUAGAGAAAGUUCUUAGAGAAAUCUUUCCCUUAGGGAGAAAUAAAUAUUUAGGAGAAAUCACUAACUUUAAGGGUCGUUAAAGCAAAGAUCACUCAUAGGAUGGAAGCAAGCCCUCCCACCAACUGUUAAUUCCAAUUCCUAGACUUGGUGGCAGUAACAUGAUUAGUUAUUGUGGGUUCUGGAAGAAAGCAGGACCUUUGGCAAUAAAGCUCUGGAAAUAUGUAUUUUUAAGUACUAUAAAAGAUGUGGAAAGCAACUUUUCUUUUCAUCCUGGGGACUAGAAAUAAUACACCUGCAAGGACAGAUGAAUGGCAUAAUGUUGGCACUCAAUGGGGCAUUAAACAUUUUGCGCCACGUUUAUGGGGUUUUCCUGUCAUUAAUUCUAGGUAAAAUAAACUUUUAAAAA